UGUCGUGAUAUCCGUUCGGCCUGCUAAGAUGAUGACGCCUCUGAAUCGAAUACGAGAAGAUCAACGUCUUCGUGCGGCGGCGAGACGGUGACCUUUGUGCUUCUUCUCACAACCAGAAACGGUCUGAUUUAUGACAUCCUCUUUAAUCCCGUUGAUUCUAUCCCCCACGAUCUGUCUUUAAAGCAUUAUUUGAAUUGAGAGGCGGUGUGGUUUCGGUAUAAAUAUAUGUAAAGACAAGCUAAAAUUUUGAAACGCAGUGGCGAGCUAAUGGGGCUAAUUAUUUGACUUGUGUAUUGUUCUCGGAUAGACAAAUCGCUUGAUUUUAAGGAAGUUGGGAGAGUUGUAGUUCAGUUGGAAAGGGAGGAUGUGACUUUACUCAAUCCUGCCGUUGCUUCAAAAAGAAAAGCAAAGAAAACAGCAUUACAAAAGACAGGAGGAGAAGGAAAAGUUGAGCUGAAAAGCAGAGAUGGAGAAGAGGAAGGAGCCCGAUGGGUGAUGGAGAGAAGUUAAUAUCAUCAUUAUCACUCAAUAUUUAAACUUCUUCAAUCAAUUAUUACAAGUGCAAUUAUCCCCAGAGCUUGAUAUGCAAAAGAAGCUGUUAAUUUAUUUUGUACAUGUUGAUCUUACGCAUUCGGAACGUGUGCAAGUUUUAGCAUUUACAGUUUGCAAGAUGUUAACAUAGUUUGUACAUAUCGUUCUUAUGCAUUUAGAGCUUUCGGUUA